CUGCGCGGAAGAUGUAACGGGGCUAAACCAUGCACCGAAGCUGCGGCAGCGACACUGUGUGUUGUUGGGUAGGGGAGCGUUCUGUAAGCCUGUGAAGGUGUGUCGUGAGGCAUGCUGGAGGUAUCAGAAGUGCGAAUGCUGACAUAAGUAACGAUAAAGCGGGUGAAAAGCCCGCUCGCCGGAAGACCAAGGGUUCCUGUCCAACGUUAAUCGGGGCAGGGUGAGUCGACCCCUAAGGCGAGGCCGAAAGGCGUAGUCGAUGGGAAACGGGUUAAUAUUCCCGUACUUGGUGUUACUGCGAAGGGGGGACGGAGAAGGCUAUGUUGGCCGGGCGACGGUUGUCCCGGUUUAAGCGUGUAGGUGUGUGUUCCAGGUAAAUCCGGUUCACUUUAACACUGAGGCGUGACGACGAGGCACUACGGUGCUGAAGCAACAAAUGCCCUGCUUCCAGGAAAAGCCUCUAAGCAUCAGGUAACAUCAAAUCGUACCCCAAACCGACACAGGUGGUCAGGUAGAGAAUACCAAGGCGCUUGAGAGAACUCGGGUGAAGGAACUAGGCAAAAUGGUGCCGUAACUUCGGGAGAAGGCACGCUGACACGUAGGUGAAGUGAUUUACUCAUGGAGCUGAAGUCAGUCGAAGAUACCAGCUGGCUGCAACUGUUUAUUAAAAACACAGCACUGUGCAAACACGAAAGUGGACGUAUACGGUGUGACGCCUGCCCGGUGCCGGAAGGUUAAUUGAUGGGGUCAGCGCAAGCGAAGCUCCUGAUCGAAGCCCCGGUAAACGGCGGCCGUAACUAUAACGGUCCUAAGGUAGCGAAAUUCCUUGUCGGGUAAGUUCCGACCUGCACGAAUGGCGUAAUGAUGGCCAGGCUGUCUCCACCCGAGACUCAGUGAAAUUGAACUCGCUGUGAAGAUGCAGUGUACCCGCGGCAAGACGGAAAGACCCCGUGAACCUUUACUAUAGCUUGACACUGAACAUUGAGCCUUGAUGUGUAGGAUAGGUGGGAGGCUUUGAAGUGUGGACGCCAGUCUGCAUGGAGCCGACCUUGAAAUACCACCCUUUAAUGUUUGAUGUUCUAACGUGGACCCGUUACCCGGGUUGCGGACAGUGUCUGGUGGGUAGUUUGACUGGGGCGGUCUCCUCCUAAAGAGUAACGGAGGAGCACGAAGGUUGGCUAAUCCUGGUCGGACAUCAGGAGGUUAGUGCAAUGGCAUAAGCCAGCUUGACUGCGAGCGUGACGGCGCGAGCAGGUGCGAAAGCAGGUCAUAGUGAUCCGGUGGUUCUGAAUGGAAGGGCCAUCGCUCAACGGAUAAAAGGUACUCCGGGGAUAACAGGCUGAUACCGCCCAAGAGUUCAUAUCGACGGCGGUGUUUGGCACCUCGAUGUCGGCUCAUCACAUCCUGGGGCUGAAGUAGGUCCCAAGGGUAUGGCUGUUCGCCAUUUAAAGUGGUACGCGAGCUGGGUUUAGAACGUCGUGAGACAGUUCGGUCCCUAUCUGCCGUGGGCGCUGGAGAACUGAGGGGGGCUGCUCCUAGUACGAGAGGACCGGAGUGGACGCAUCACUGGUGUUCGGGUUGUCAUGCCAAUGGCACUGCCCGGUAGCUAAAUGCGGAAGAGAUAAGUGCUGAAAGCAUCUAAGCACGAAACUUGCCCCGA
rnacentral:rRNA from 1 species